CCCAAAAAGAAAAGACGGAAGUAAGCAUAGUUGCUAACGCUGAGACGUCGACGACAGACUAAGGCUCGUUGGGUUUGGAACUGUCAACAACAUCAACAUGUUGAAAGAGUUGGUAAGGGAGCGACUGAUCGCGGCCGCUGACGAAAUAUUCGGACUAUUUGAAAAAACAAUGGCGUCAUACGAGGAGCAACUUUGUCGAGCCAGAGAGGAGAGCGAGCGCCAACGCCGACAGCUGGAAAUGAUUUACAGCACGCAAAUUGUCAGACGUGGCGAAGGUACCGAGGAAGACGAUAAAGAGGUCGAGGAGCGUCCACAGCCCUUCUACGUUAAAGAGGAAGAAGAAGAGGCUAAAGUCAGCAAGUUACCGCUAACCGCUCUCUACACGGAAAUGAAAAACAAUGAAGACGAAUGUCCCGAGACCACUCUUGGCGACAAGGAAACUUCCAAAACAUGCCAACAAUAUUUUAUCUGCUCAGUUUGUGGUAAAGGUUUUGCUAAAAAAUCCGUAUUGAUUCGAC